GUCAGGAUGGCCGAGCGGUCUAAGGCGCUGCGUUCAGGUCGUAGUCCACUUGGCGUGGGCGUUGGUUCAAAUCCCACUUCUGAACA